GUGGGUAUAGCUCAGUGGUAGAGUGUGUGCUUAGCAUGCAUGAGGUCCUGGGUUCAAUCCCCAGUGCCUGCA
rfam:Camelus ferus unplaced genomic scaffold scaffold1904, whole genome shotgun sequence.